rnacentral:rRNA from 1 species
GUAGGUGGCAAGCGUUGUCCGGAAUUAUUGGGCGUAAAGCGCGCGCAGGCGGUCCUUUAAGUCUGAUGUGAAAGCCCACGGCUCAACCGUGGAGGGUCAUUGGAAACUGGGGGACUUGAGUACAGAAGAGGAAAGCGGAAUUCCAAGUGUAGCGGUGAAAUGCGUAGAGAUUUGGAGGAACACCAGUGGCGAAGGCGGCUUUCUGGUCUGUAACUGACGCUGAGGCGCGAAAGCGUGGGGUAGCAAACAGGGAUUAGAUACCCUGGUAGUCCACGCCGUAAACGAUGAGUGCUAAGUGUUAGGGGGUUUCCGCCCCCUUAGUGCUGCAGCUAACGCAUUAAGCACUCCGCCUGGGGAGUACGGCCGCAAGGCUG